CAUGACUCCAAGCAAAGAGCUAGUCCUUGGCUUUGAGGGGGCCCAAAGUGAAAUAAAAGGGGCGUGUCACCUCUCAGAUGUAGUCUAUAGUCAAAAACUCCUCUCCUCAGCCACAGUGAUCUCUCUGCCAUAAGCAAAAAUCUUUGUAUGCAGAAGAAUCAACUUCUGCUGGGAUUAAGAACCAUCACAGACCUCACUUCCAUCCUCACCAAGUGUAAGGUAUUUCUAGAGCAUCAGUCACUGGAGUAUCUGUAUCUGAUAAGUUCAAAACAAAAGACCAAUGGAAAAAAGGAAAACAAGAGCAAAGACAAAAGAAUUUCCAGGAACUAGACCAACCAACAAACCCUUGCCAUUUGUGGUGGAUGUGUUCCUGAUACCACUACAAAGAGUGAAAUGUGAACACUGGGAGCCACGACUCCAUGCCUCCACAGCAAGCUCCAAAAUGCUUCAUAGAGGCUGGGAGCCACAGGGAACUCACCAUAGCUGCCAGGAGCCAAAGAGAUCUCACUGCAAUUCCUGGCAGCUGUGAGAGUUCCCUGCAGUUCCCAGCAGCUGCAAGAAACUCAUUGUGGCUCCUGGUAACCGCUGGGAACUCACAGCAGCUGCCAAGAGCUGUGGGGGGCUCACCACAGCUCCUAGCUCCUACCUCCCACCUCUCCUCCCCCAGCCUGGACAGGAGACUCCCACAAAUAUGCAGAACUAUGAAUAGCAAUUCCAUGAAUCUGGAGAAUAUCCUGUACAAUUAUACCAGGGAUUCAACAGGACUGUAGGCAUACGUAUCCAUUAUACUUUCCAUCAAUCUUUCUUGUAAUUUGUACUUUUGAGGGAAGUUAUGUUAGGUCCAGAACAAAUUAAAAUGUCAACUUUUUUAAUUCUGUAGGCACCACAGUAAGCAAAAUGCUCUGUGUGGAAGUUUCAUACAUGGUAACUUGAAAAUUAUUUGACUAAUAUUUAUUAAGCUCUUCAGAAGAACUCUACUCUAGGACAAGAUUGAUCAUACCAAGUUUUGAGAAGAUCAUAUUUAUUGAAACUUUCGAAUGCCUAGUAAUGGUGAGCUGGUUCCAAUGGUUAAUUACUCUCACUGUUAAAUUUACACCUUAUUUCCUGUUUGAAUUUGUUUAGUUUCAGCUUCCAGCUGUCCGUUUGUGUUUCACUUUUCUACUAGAUUGAAGACACUAUUCACUGAUCCCCGUUUAGGUAGUUAGUAAUCAAGUCACCCUUAACAUUCUCUUUGUUGAGCUAAAUUGAUUGAGCUUCUUGAGUCUGUCACUAAAAGGCAUGUUUUCUAACCUUCUAAUCAUUCUUAUGGGGCUUUUCUCAAUUUAUCAACACCCUUCUUAAAUUGUGGGCACAGAAGUGGACACAUUAUUUCAGCAGCAGCCACAUCAGUGCCAGGUACAGAGGUAAACUAACUUUACUCCUACUUGAGUCCCCUGGAUCUCAUUAGCUCUUUUGGCCACAGCUUCACAUGGGAAGCUCGUGUUCUGCUGAUUAUCCUCCAUGAAACUCAAGUCUUUUUCAGAGUUGUUGCUUCCUGGGAUAAAUAUAGCCUAUGUUCUUUGUUCUCUGAUGUAUACAUUUACAUUUAGUCUUAUAACAUGCACAUUGUUUGCUUGCAUCCAGUUACUACUCCACCAUCUCUUGUGUCAUCAUCCUCACAUUAUGCUCGCAGAUUUUGCAUGUUCUUCCAGGUUAUUAAUGAAAACAUUAAAUUGUAUACAAGGCCAAGAACUGUCCAUGUAGGUCCCCAAUGGAAACAGACCCAUUCAAUGGUUAUUCCCUAUUUAUAGUUAUAUUCUGAGGCCUAUCAGCCAGUUUUUAUUCCAAUUAAUGUGUGUCAUGUCAAUUUUAUAUUAUUCUUGAUUCUUAAUCAAAAUGUCAUGCAGAACCAAGUCAAAUGCCUUGCAGCCCUCAAGAGUUGAAUCUGUGAGUAUGAGAUGUACAUGGAUGGAGAAAUAGAGUGCCUGUUAUUUCGAAAAAUAUUUUGAAAUAAUGGGUGCGUUUCUAAUAUGUAGGGUAGCUAUUUCGGGAUACCUCAAUAUCCCGAAAUAUCUUUGCUGUGUAGUCUUACCUGUAAUUGUUUGGGAACAGCUAUUAACAGCCAGUAGAUGGCGCCUUCAAUCUCCAUGGUUAUUUUACAGAAUAUAUUUUAUAAUUCCUUGAUAGCUGAGUCAGAUUCUGCUGGUCCACAGGAAUGGUAAUUAUUAUAACUGUGUUGCUCUCAAAUUACAUUGGUGUAACUGACAACAGAAUCUGGGCCAGCCUUUUUGAAACAAGUCACCAAACAAUAGAUAGAUUUGUCUUAUAAUUACAACAAUAAAGCAACAUUCAGCUUAUUUCAUUUCUCAGGAAGGACACCCAGCAGACACUGAAUUUAAGCAAUAUCAGUUCAUCAUUCAAACUGUCAUGCCAGCUCCACCAACACCCAAGCUUAGCACAAUUCAGUAGAAAUAAAAUCUCAUUUUGGACAGCAUUUUGAGUGCUAGAAAUAUCCUUCAGUAGUUCUUCAGCCCAAGGAGAGAUUUGAAAUGAGCAGUUCGUGCAAAACAUGUCAGACUCGGAAAUUAAAAAUAUAAAAAGCAAGGGAGUUUGAAACUCAUUCUCAAGGGCAAAGAGGAUGGAUAAUGCUUUCCAAGAGAUGUCUGAAUGAGUGACCAAACGAAUCUCUGUGUUCAUAUCCUAUACACCAUUGUAAUAACCUUUGUACAAAAUAUGCUGUAUAAGAUAUCAUUUGAAAAAUCUCACUGAUCUAUAAUAUCAUGAUCAAGUGUGUGCAAGCAACAUUAUAUGUAAAGUUAUAAACAUAAGGGCUACGUCUACACUGGCCCCUUUUCCGAAAGG